rnacentral:rRNA from 1 species
AGCGAACGCUGGCGGCAGGCCUAAAACAUGCAAGUCGAACGCACUCUUCGGAGUGAGUGGCGGACGGGUGAGUAACGCGUGGGAACGUGCCCUUUGGUUCGGAACAACUCAGGGAAACUUGAGCUAAUACCGGAUGUGCCCUUCGGGGAAAGAUUUAUCGCCAUUGGAGCGGCCCGCGUUGGAUUAGGUAGUUGGUGGGGUAAAGGCCCACCAAGCCUACGAUCCAUAGCUGGUCUGAGAGGAUGAUCAGCCACAUUGGGACUGAGACACGGCCCAAACUCCUACGGGAGGCAGCAGUUAGGAAUCUUGGGCAAUGGGCGAAAGCCUGACCCAGCCAUGCCGCGUGAAUGAUGAAGGUCCUAGGAUUGUAAAAUUCUUUCACCGGGGAAGAUAAUGACGGUACCCGGAGAAGAAGCUCCGGCUAACUUCGUG